rnacentral:rRNA from 1 species
CACGUAGGGCGCAAGCGUUGUCCGGAAUUAUUGGGCGUAAAGAGCUCGUAGGCGGUCUGUUACGUCUGCUGUGAAAACCCGGGGCUUAACCCUGGGCUUGCAGUGGAUACGGGCAGACUAGAGUGCGGUAGGGGAGACUGGAAUUCCUGGUGUAGCGGUGAAAUGCGCAGAUAUCAGGAGGAACACCGGUGGCGAAGGCGGGUCUCUGGACAGUUCCUGACGCUGAAGCACGAAGGCCAGGGGAGCAAACGGG